AUUGAACGCUGGCGGCAGGUCUAACACAUGCAAGUCGAACGGUAACAGGAAGCAGCUUGCUGCUUCGCUGACGAGUGGCGGACGGGUGAGUAAUGUCUGGGAAACUGCCUGAUGGAGGGGGAUAACUACUGGAAACGGUAGCUAAUACCGCAUAACGUCGCAAGACCAAAGAGGGGGACCUUAGGGCCUCUUGCCAUCGGAUGUGCCCAGAUGGGAUUAGCUAGUAGGUGGGGUAACGGCUCACCUAGGCGACGAUCCCUAGCUGGUCUGAGAGGAUGACCAGCCACACUGGAGGUGGGACACGGUCCAGACUCCUACGGGAGGCAGCAGUGGGGAAUAUUGCACAAUGGGCGCAAGCCUGAUGCAGCCAUGCCGCGUGUAUGCAGAAGGCCUUCGGGUUGUAAAGUACUUUCAGCGGGGAGGAAGGGAGUAAAGUUAAUACCUUUGCUCAUUGACGUUACCCGCAGAAGAAGCACCGGCUAACUCCGUG
rnacentral:rRNA from 1 species